GCCGUCGUUGCCACCCAGCCCUGGAAUGCUGGAUGCAACCAGUGCGGGCAUCGCUGCACCCAGCCAGCCACGGCUCGCACUAGGCCGCGAGCGGGUGCCCUCGAUCGAUCUGCUCAGCUGUGCGGAACGCCGGUUUAGGAUCUCUUCUUUCUUGUUGUACUUAUAUUUAUCAUAUAUUUGUUGGCAUAUAAAACGAUCUGAUCUCUCGUCUUGCUGCAUCGUCUUCUCAGUGGGCCUUUAUUAUUCUAUUAUAUUUCUUUUUGUAUACGAGUAUGCCACGCCAGCGCUAGAGUGCUUCAAGGCGAUCGAGGAGGGGCCCGGCUGGGUAGAUCAGCUCCGGUUGUGGUGCCUGUAUUGGGACGUAGGGAUGUACCCAGCUGAAUGAACAAUGAAUCACCAAUACACCCAAUUCAGACAUUUUAGGGAGAUGUCAACAUUUGAUGGGUUAUGAAGCUUGUAAGUGACAAGCUCAAGAACAAG